GCCCUCGUAGGUCAAUGGAUAGACCGCCAGCCUCCGAAGCUGGAUAUGCAGGUUCAAUUCCUGCCGGGGGCA
rnacentral:tRNA from 1 species